AUUGAACGCUGGCGGCAGGCCUAACACAUGCCAGUCGAACGGUAACAGGAAGAAGCUUGCUUCUUUGCUGACGAGUGGCGGACGGGUGAGUAAUGUCUGGGAAACUGCCUGAUGGAGGGGGAUAACUACUGGAAACGGUAGCUAAUACCGCAUAACGUCGCAAGACCAAAGAGGGGGACCUUCGGGCCUCUUGCCAUCGGAUGUGCCCAGAUGGGAUUAGCUAGUAGGUGGGGUAACGGCUCACCUAGGCAACGAUCCCUAGCUGGUCUGAGAGGAUGACCAGCCACACUGGAACCGAGACACGGUCCAGACUCCUACGGGAGGCAGCAGUGGGGAAUAUUGCACAAUGGGCGCAAGCCUGAUGCAGCCAUGCCGCGUGUAUGAAGAAGGCCUUCGGGUUGUAAAGUACUUUCAGCGGGGAGGAAGGGAGUAAAGUUAAUACCUUUGCUCAUUGACGUUACCCGCAGAAGAAGCACCGGCUAACUCCGUG
rnacentral:rRNA from 1 species